UUAGACUCGAUAAUUGCCCGAUAAAACCGUUGGUACACCGACAUGUUUCAGAAAUUGAUCUGGACUUAGAUAAUUUGAUUAGAUAUGUGUUUAUUUGUGAUUCAAUGGUUGUGGAACAUAUGUGACAAUGUGAUUAGGUUAUGUGCUGACUGCAAUAAGCAAUGCUAUGUGUUAUAGUAUGUUAUUCUAAUUGAUCAAAUGAUCUUAUUACUGAUAGGU
rnacentral:lncRNA from 1 species